CUGCAUGUGGGCCUGAUGUGAUGGGAGCUCAUUUGAAGCCUCAGUCUGGAAGCUGGUGCAGGUUGCUUAGGUGCAGGCUGAGCUCCUGAGGAGCUGUGGGGAUGUAUGCAAAGAUGGUUUUCAGCCUAAAGAAUUAGAGCAAUUUGUGAUGUGACUACUGAGUAGCAUUCCAGGGACAACGUGUCUCCUUCAACACUAAUUAAAGGUAAUUCAAAUGUGUGGCUUCUAACUACUUGCAGAGGACAGCUUAGUAUUGCUAACACCAUGUGGUGUUCGAAGCUGAGAGGUUCCUUGAGUCCCAGGACAGCAUGAACCAGCAUCCCUUCACAGUGCCUCUGAUGGAGUACAGUGAACACACGGGUGCUGCAACCUGGAAAUCCAUCAGCAGUGAGGCUGUCUGAUUUGCCCCAGAGUUACCAAACUGGAAAUCUCAUCAGCAGGAAGACGGUCUGCAGUCACCGUGGGGACUUGUGGCAAGGUGUUGGUGUGUCUGAGAAGGUGACUUUACUGGAAACACUGAACAGACAGAAGUAGAAACUAGUCAUGUCAGAGACCACUCGGCAGCUGGAUGGGAUUCCUUGCGUGAUUCAUCCACAAAAAUGACUGCUUUGCCUGACGUCGUAUUUCCCCCCCUUUAUUUAGAAUGCAGCUUUGGCUGCCGUGGCUGUGGUCCAUUGUCUGGAUUGCUUUUUGAUGGCUGGGUGGUACGGAUAGCAUCCUUGUAUUCUCAUGAUUUCUAAACCACUGCUCGGACCAGGGGGGAAAAAGACAACCAAAUGAAGGGCUUCGUCACUCCAGAAGCCCUCAGUGGAAUGAACCUGUAAUCUUAGGAAAUCAAAGGGGAAUCUGGGGAAUGUGUCAUUUUUAGUGUCUUUAAGGCAGCAAAAUUACAAGCGAAAAUAGCUGCCUGUAAAUUGUGUUUAUGGAGUUAAUUGACAGGAAUAGUAGAGAAGGGAAAGUCUGGAUGAAAGCCUCUGGGUCUGAACUGCUCUGUUUCAGGAGGAGGUCUAAAGGAAGGACUGUCACCCGAUGCAACCAAAAUGUACCGGGAUGCAUGGAUCAGUUACUGUGCCUCAGCAGAGGAAUUCAUAGUGAUGCUGCCCUGUGGCAAUGCUGUGACCACCCAUUCUUGUGAAACUCACUCAAAUGUUUGCAGGAUUACUGAGCUGCACAAACCAGCAGUGGAAAAAGGUCUCUGUGGUCUCUCUCAGCACACUGAUGGAGUGGGACCGUUCCCAGCCGUGCAGAGCUCUGUGCAGACCCAUCUGAUGUGAUUCAUGCCUUUGGAUGUCUCACAGCUUCCUUUGGGAACUCGAAUUGACCUUCCAUAACUAAGGAGGCCUUAAUGUACUGCUCAUUUCCCUUCAACCUUAGUCUGAAUUUCAUGCCACUUAAUUUCCAUCCCAUUCUCAUUCAAGCCGUAAACUCCACUUGCUAGGUGCUGCACCCUCCCAUAGACACAAGCAGCACGCUCAGGUGGCAUGGGCUGCAAGCAUUAUGUCAGCUUUUGUUAGUACAGAGCUCAGGAACUGCUGUGAUGAAAAGGCACCACCAGCUUUACACGUGGCUGUGGAGCAGAUACCCAAAAAUGUGGACUGACUUAAGAUUUACAACUUCCAGUUUCUUAUUCUGCUUAUAUCCCGAGAUUUCCAGCAAUGCUUCGGGUUCAGGAUGUCCCUGGGAAGGAUUCCAGCUCAUCUCUGCUGAAGCAAGAGGGCGUCUUGAAGAAUGUAGUUAGCUAAUUGUGGUAGGG
ensembl:lncRNA